rnacentral:rRNA from 1 species
UACGUAGGCAGCGAGCGUUGUUCGGAAUUACUGGGCGUAAAGAGUGUGUAGGCGGUGUUCCCAGUCUGUUGUGAAAUCUCCCGGCUUAACUGGGAGGGUGCAGCGGAAACUAGAAUGCUAGAGGGUGGGAGAGGUAAGCGGAAUUCCUGGUGUAGCGGUGAAAUGCGCAGAUAUCAGGAGGAACACCGGUGGCGAAGGCGGUUCUCUGGGCAUUACCUGACGCUGAGGAGCGAAAGCGUGGGGAGCAAACAGG